CCCAGAGAAGGCAGUGGGCAGGGCACAGACCCCAGGACCUGCCUCUGCUGCUGAGAAGCAUCCAUUUCUUCCCAGGUGAGAAAAGGCAGGAGCAGGCUGCAGGGCAAACAUGGUCUUGGCCAUAUUCAGAAGUCAUUAUUGCUAACACUCAGCUUUGACAAGCUACUGCAAAUGAACGUUCCUGCCAGUAGCUGUCUAGACCUGGCUCUCCGCUUGCGCUGGUCUCAUCUCCUGGGCCACCACGGACACGGAUAGAGCUGCCUCUGGGGGUCAUCGACCAUAGCUUGGGUAGAGAAAGUGCAGGUGUCCCUGCUCAGAAAGAAAUAUUUCCAGACUAUUUUCCUCCACUUCCAGCAGAAGAGAUGAUGCCACACCAAAGUGGGUUUCAGACAACCAUAUUGCUGAUCCUGGAGCUGAAGUUAAAAUCCCUGUGCCAGCCAGAGGGGAAUGAGGCAUCCCAAUGCCCAAAACAAGGUGCUGGGGAAAUACCACCUCCCUACCUGCCAUCUCUGAUGCCUGGUUCAGCAUCCCCAUGGACCUGUUUCAAGCAGCAGAAUGAGAAGUCACUGGUAGGAAAUGCAGGCAUCUGCAUUCACACUUGACUCUAUUGUUUCGUGAAAACAGAAAACGCUGCUUAAAUAAAACAAAUCCAAUGGCUUGAGGUGACAUCUGACACCCACACAUGGUGUGGCACUCCUGCAGUCCUGAAGAUCUGCCUCCUCUCCCUCAAGGUGUCCUGCUGAACCACAGCUCCUCAGAUCCACGCCUGCCCCGUGCUCAGUGGCUGCCACCUGCCUGAGCAGUGCCUGUGAGCUGCAAGGCCGAGAGCAACCCUGUCUGCUCCUUUGAGACGCGUGGGCACAGCAGUCUCUCCAUAUGAGGGAGUUGCUUUGCCAAAACCCUGCCUGCCUCCAGCUGUGGGCAGAGGAGCCUGUUCUGGGUAUUGGGCUGGCGGCUCGGCAGGCAGGUGUUUGCUCUGGGUGGGAUGGAGCAAGCAAGGAGGCCCACACACCUUCCUGCAGUGCUGCCUCUGGAGGGACGUUAGAGCAGGGGGCUGGUGCUGGUACACAGACACUUCUGAUAACGAUGCCCACAGAGGUGUUUUCAGAGUCAAGCUGGGCUCUGCCAUCCCGAUUGAAGUGAUCUGUGAUAAGGAAUGUAGACUUUAAGUUUUCACAGCAUGGCUCAUGCAGGCUGCUGAGCCCCAUGGCUCUCCAACAGCCCUUGGGCAUAUUUGUCUGCAAACUCCAGUGGUGUGUAAUGUGAGGAGGAGAUCUGACCCCUUUGUCCUCCUCAUGGCCUCCCCAGUCCCAAGGCAGAAGCACUGCCAUUUCUGGAUUGCAUUCUCAGGGUAGAGGUUUCCUUAUCAGCAUCUCAGAGACCCGCUGGGGGAUCCAGAUGGUAUCUAGGGAGCAGCAGCACCCCAGAACACCUGCCUCCAUACCACUUGGAAGUGCAGCAGCAGGGAAGGUGUCUUGUGGUCACAUCCCUGCUUGAGAAUGGAAUCUGUCUUGGUUCAGUUCCUCGCCAUGCUUGCUCGCCAGUUGGUGUGCCAGACCAUUGUAGCUUUCUUUGCUUCAUUAAUGGGCCUGGUUAGUUCAGGACCAUGUCUUCCCUGCUGUGUGGCAACUGCUUGAAUUCUAUGCCACAUGCCUCAGCAGCUGAAGAGCACAUUGCAAAUCAUGGUGGUCUGUGAUGGCAAUUCCCGCACAAAAUGCUCUGAGUCCUGUGCUGGGCUGAGGAGCUGUGCCACAGCCUUUGGGUGAAGUCUGGCAGAAGGGAGCAGCCCAGUAAAGUUUGGGGCACCUGCUCCAUGCUUGAGGCUGUUCCUGUGGUGUUGGAUGUCUGUAUUUCAUUGCCGAGAGGAGAAGCUGAGGCACAGUGAGGGGAGCCUGCCCUGUGGGGCCAGUGCAUGCUGCCUGGUUCCCAGUGAGCACGAGGCUCCCUCCUGGCCUGCAAGGCCGGCAGCACCCGUGAUGUGUAGGACUUGCAUGCUGGGGGCUUAUCUGCACAGUGCUGUAGCCUGGAGGGAGUGCAGCAGCCUGUUCUCUAUUUAUGCAAUAUCCCAGCAGCUACUGAGCAUCACCUCCCUGCGUGCACGCAUGGAAAUCCUGAGUGAGGCGUGGGAAAAUCUGUAAGAUACCAUCUCUGCCCUGCGGCCCAGAGCCGGCAGCACGGUGAGUGCUGCACUUGGCCCUCGGCAGACCCCACUCCCUGCCCCACUCCAUCCCUCUCCUGCCCUGGCCACUCCAGUCUGCACUGCAGCCCAUGGUCACACCCCACCACGAGCCCAUAGGUUCUGGAGUGCACGGUGUCUCUGGGGCACAGACAGGCAGUGGCUGCCCAACACCUCUGUUGGAGGGAACUGCCAGGUUGCCCAUGCUGGCCGCUCUGUGGAGUGUGGGGAGAUGCCAGGGUCUGUCUGAUGGCAGAGGGUGAAACCCUGCAGGGAGCAGCCCCACUUCAGGGAUGGCUUUUGUAGCCAGCAGCUGGAAUUGGAUCUCUGGUUGGGAAGAGUGGUGGGAAAAGGUGCUGGGGAAAGUUGAUAUGACAAGACCAAAAUAAUUCAUGGGAAUGUACUGAUUUUGUCACUGUAUGAAAACAUGUCAGGCUUCCUCCCCCCAGGUAGCAAUAGAACUUCUUGUGUUGCAGCAGCUGAAGUGACACAGUCAAAGUGAAACACUGCAAGCGGCAUUUCAAUAUGUUCCAAAACAAAGUAUUUCAGAGUUUCUAUAACUAUGCAACAUGUCAUAGUUUUGACUCUUUGUUCCAAACCGGGACAAAGGAAAUGCCGAACUGUCAAGUUUUUCCAUGAAGCGGAAAGACUGAGCGGCUCCUGGGCCUCACAGGCCAUCAGUGGUGGAAGGCAGGGUGCCAUGGCCCUCAGCCGCGCCAGCCGUGAUCCAGGUCUGGGCAGCAGCAAGUGCGGAUGGCUGCCUGUCACCAGGAGCGGGGACAGCCUGAGACGAGUUGGCAGGGCAGGGGACAGCAUGAGCUGCUCAGGGAGAAGGGUCCUUAACAGCCUUUCAUGGAAGCCGCAUGCCACCCCUGCUGCCUCCUGUCUCUCUGAAGAGGAGCAGCACCCCAUCCUGCAGCGGGUGUGCCCUGGCAGGGCUCGGGGGCUCGGGGCUGGGAGCACAGGUGAUGCUGGGGCCAUGUGAAGACUGUGGGAGGUGCAUGCAUUGGCAGUCCUGGAUCCCCUGCGGGCACCAAGGAUGAUGCCAGUGCUGCUCAGGGUGCCCAAGACCGGGAGCACCCCUGGGGCCGGGGCUCUGCUGCUCGGCGAGGCCGUGGUGGUAUCGGCACACCUCUGCUGCGGUUGUUUUUCAGGCACCGAGAGCGGCACACCCUGCUUCCUGCACAGGCGGCCCCGGCGCUUCCUGCACCCGCUGCUGUAAUUAGAAGGGCAGGCAGUGUCCCAUGGAGCAGAGCCCUCCCUUGGGUGUCACGGCACUCUCGGCGGGGGUUUGCUGGGUGAGCUGGUGCGGGGCACCCGUCCUCGCACCAUGCUGCCAGUCAAGGGGCACAGAGGUGGUGUUGGGGCAGCAUCCUCUGCUCAACGCUCCAUUCUGGGGACUGCCACCAUAGGGCCGUGUGGAGGGGCAGCAGUGGGCAGCGCGGGUGAGUCUUCCCAGGCAGAGCUGGCACAACGGAGCUGGAGAAAUCCCAUCGGUUUCCCAUCCCGUGCUUUGUGCCUUCAAAGAGGCAGGCAGCUCUCUCUAAUUAAGUUGCCCCCACCCUGCCAGGCAAGGAGGCGAUGUUAUCUUCAUAGGGCUGGUGGAAGAAGCAGAGUCUAAAAAACUUGCCCGAGGGCCUCAGCGGGGUUGGUGCCUUCUCAGGGCUCAGCCUUGGCCAGGCAGCCCUGCUUCUGAGUUUCCCCAGCAUGCUGCUCUUUCUAAAGAGGAGCAAGACCUUCACCAAAAGAUGGGGAAGCUUGCAGAACAAGCUCCUGCUUUUCCUGCAGUGCCACUCUGCUUUGGAGUACAGCUGGAAAGAAGGGGGUGCAAGCAGCUGCAGUUGUGCACAGAGCAAAAUUGUCUUGGUGUUCUUGCAGGGCUGCUGUGGGGAGGGUUUCUUAAUGGGUCUGCUUGUCAGGCUGAGGCUGGCAGUACCGCUGAAUUGAGCAUUGUGAACCUACAUGAAUAAUGAAUAGCCAUCACAUGAAUAUUUUAGAGACACAGUCCUGAGAUUUCCCAGUGCUGCCUUAAAGGAAAAUGGAGGAAAAGUUGUCCAGAAAGAAUGAUGUUUCCUCUAGGCAAAAACACACUGUUAUCAUUGGCUUUUGAAAAAGAGCUGCUGCUGCUAAAUAAUUCUCAGGAUUUGCAUCAAAAACUGGAGCAGUGGUUUGGCUCCAAGGCAGAAGAAGUUGGGAGAGAAGCCCAAGUCAAUGAUUACAGUGUGCUGGAAGGACAGCAGAUUUUACUUUGUCUAUGCAAUGGUUUUGUGAGAAUUCCCAAAGCUGUGUCCACCUUCCAAAGAGCCAGCAGUGCUGGGCACUCAGUGGAUUUCAAAGGAGUGGUGAGAGAUUUGGUGAUGCACAGGGAUGCUUUCUCUCCCGGGAGAACACCUCAGUCCAGCCCAAGUACCCCUCUCAAAGAGCUGAGUUGUACAAACAAAGCCCAGCAGCAAAAAUUGUGUUCAUUUUGCAUGCUGUGGUAGCUGCUGCAUCAUAUGGGAAUGGGCUGCAAAUCAACAGGUUUAUCCCACUUCACAGCAGCAUGCCCCUCUCCUCCAAGCUUUCCUUGCCUGGCUGCGCUGUUGGCAUGCACACUCCGGUGCCAAGCUGCCUCUGUGCAGCUCUUGGGACAGCAUCUGUACCUCAGUGUCCCUUUCCACUGUGUGUGACUAAGCCAUGCAUAAACAUCUUCUAGGAGCAGCAGGCUGUCACAGUCAGGUAAGACCAGUAGCAGCCUGUCUUGCUCAGGUAGGCACAGCAUAGCAAUGGGAGAGGGAUGAGAAACAUGGCAAUUAGAAAUAUGCAAUUGCUACUCUAGCUCUGAUGUUUUUGUCACUUGGAUGACGCAGUCUGUAUCUCCUUCAGCACUGCUCUGCUCAAAGCGAUCCUUGCAGUGCUGCUAGCACCAUCAGACAGAAACAAUUCCUUGGUGUUUAUGAAGUGCUCAGAAAUGUAUCUGUUGCAAGAAUGAGGGCAAUUUGGGCAUCGCUUAAGUAGGUCGCACAGAGGUGGUAGAAAAUACCUGCAGUUAACUGGUCCCUGAAGCACUUCAGUCUGGAAAUGGGGAAAGGUGGGGGGGAAAAGGGCAACAUGUGGGAAAAACAUCCCAAUCUAAAUUCAGAGAUCUUUAUUGUUCAUGUUUUCCUCAAACUUCCCUGCCCCAGGAUGGGUUGCAGGUGGCAGAGCAAGCCUCCUUUUCCCACUGCACCAGCACUUCUGCCUGUCCCUGAGUGUCUGUUUCCAGUUCAUGCCACUGGACGCAGCUGCAAGUGUCCCCAUGGAGGUCCAUCGAGCUCCGCACUCUGUACUGGCAGAGUCCUCAGCCAAAGACCCCAGUGGUGCCGAGACUGUGCUGCCAGGGCUGUGCCAAUGGGAUUAUUGAGCAUUCUGCCUGUGGUCAGGCAGCCUGGGAAUGGCACUGCACGUGCCUCAGCUGCAGGGUUAGAAGUGCUGCCAGACCUGAGGUGUGGGGAUCGGCCAGGCUGGCUGGCUGAUCUGGCUGGUGAUCAUGCAUUGUAAAGGGAAGGUAACUUUUAACUGAAGUACAAAAGAAAGACAAUAAUGAGCACUUACAUUACUGCUUCAGUGCCCACAUAAAGACUCGAGAUGGUUUUAUUAAAGAUGACUUGAUUAGAAAUGAUUUUACUAAAUCUCUGCCUGCUGUCUGCAGCCCACCAGCCUUCCAUUGAAGCACCUCACCUAAAUGAAAAGCUGACUGCUGAGUCCCCUUUCAUCUCUCUUAUUUGCCUUUAGGAAGCAAAGGAGGGGCCAGACCAGGCUGGUGGUGGUGGCAGAGCCUGGGAUGAGCAUGGCAGAGGUUCAGACGUACUUGGGAAAUUUAUGCCAUACAGUUGCUAGCUUUGAAAAGAAGAAGAAAAGAAAAACUGUGUCUUCCUAAUGGGUGUUUAUCAGGGGGAGGCAUCACAGAGCAAGAGAAAA